UACGUAGGUGGCGAGCGUUGUCCGGAAUUACUGGGUGUAAAGGGCGUGUAGGCGGGAAUGUAAGUCAGAUGUGAAAUACCAUGGCUCAACUGUGGGGCUGCAUCUGAAACUAUGUUUCUUGAGUGCUGGAGAGGAAAGCGGAAUUCCUAGUGUAGCGGUGAAAUGCGUAGAUAUUAGGAGGAACACCAGUGGCGAAGGCGGCUUUCUGGACAGUAACUGACGCUGAGGCGCGAAAGCGUGGGGAGCAAACAGGAUUAGA
rnacentral:rRNA from 1 species